rnacentral:rRNA from 1 species
AACCCGACUACAUGAAGCUGGAAUCGCUAGUAAUCGCGAAUCAGCAUGUCGCGGUGAAUACGUUCCCGGGUCUUGUACACACCGCCCGUCACACCAUGGGAGUUGGUAACGCCCGAAGUCAGUGACCUAACCGCAAGGGAGGAGCUGCCGAAGGUGGGGCCAGUAACUGGGGUGAAGUCGUAACAAGGUAGC